UGGCAUGUGGCUGACUAAUCGUGGUAAACCACUUGCUUAAAUAGCUGCUCCUUAGAAGCAGUAGUGAUUACAAGCCUUGUCUAGCACCAGGAAUCAGAAUGUCUUCCUUCUUCUUUCAAAGGUAGAUGUUACAAAAGCUACUUCUUACUGGGUCAUAGACUAAUUUUAUUAAAUUAAUUCAUUUAACAUAUUCAAAGUUUUUACUAAAUACUGAUUUUUUUAAUAAAUAUUAAAUGCAAUUUCUAUAACAAUUUUUAACUUACUGCUUCAUCCAUGGACUCAAUGAUCAGAAAAUGCACAUGAUGGAUAAAAAUGACCUAAAUGAUAUAGAAAUAAGUAAGGAGGAAUAUUGAGACACUGAGGAAAGAGCUGAUUCAGUAGUAAAGAUGAUUAAUUUUUUUUUUUUUUUUUUUAGACAGAGUCUUGCUCUAUCACCAGGCUGGAGUGCAGUGGCAUAAUCUCGGCUCACAGCAACACCCGCCUUCUGGGUUCAACCAUUUUUCUGCCUCAGCCUCCCAAGUAGCUCAACUUGGGACUACAGGGCUACAUACGUGAUAAUUCUAGACCAGCAUCUGACCCUUUUGUGCACUCAGU
rnacentral:lncRNA from 13 species